GGGCAUCGAGGCGGUGGCGCUUGAUUUCCUUUAAAGUACCUACCACGCCACCCGCUACCUGUAAUAAUCCAUCUGAAGAGGUCGCCGGGCAGCGCCUCGGCAGACAGACUGACCUGCGGGGAGGUGCGGUUUCCAGUGGCGCGGGACAGCCGGCUCCGAGAAGGAACUGGGACCUUUGCCUAGGGCAAGACGUCAACAGGAACCCGCAGGCCCGGCCUGGACACCUGCUGCCCUCACUGGAAGCUUUAACUCCCACUCGAGUCUCUUGGCGUCGUCAGUGCCAGGAGCGCUUGGAUUGGGAUGGGGACGGAGAAGGGUGCCUCGCUCGCCGAGCCCCGCUGCCCUUGGGGACCUGGCAAAGUCGAGGUUUCCUCACAGCGUUGAGAUUGAGACUGGGGGUCGGCAGCACUGAGAAGUGAAGGAAUAUUUGGGAGGAUCAGAAGCUUGGUCCUGAUUUUGCCAUCAACAGGAACUUGAUGACUUCAAGGGAGUCCCCAAACCCUGGGUUUCUGUUUUCUCAACUCUAACAUGAGGGGCUAGAUGCAUCUGGUUUAGUUAGUCUCCAUGAUGGUUUAGUUCGUCUCCAUGAUCCUGUGAAUUUCAGAUGUUGAAAAUCUUCGGAAAAGCCCUGAAAGAUGAACAGUCUUCACCAACCUCCUCCCUCCAGAAUAUUCCUCAAGAAUAUAAAAUGCCUCAUCAACAUGAGACAACAGCAGGAAGCACCCAUUCGUAGUAAUCCUCUGUAUGGAGGAGGCUGUUACAUAACCACAAAGGCACAAAGCUGCAGUUUUGAGAACAUCUUCCCACGCCAGUUCUAAGCAUUGACUUCAACUAUGGUUGCUAACACAAGAAUCGGCACUGGUGACUUUUGAGCCAUCAAUCAUCCUUUCCUAACACAUGAAUCUUUUGGAAAAUGGUCUCAAAUAGUCAAGACCCCCUGCUGGGAGGAGCUUCUAUCCUGCUCUGUGGAA
rnacentral:lncRNA from 1 species